rnacentral:rRNA from 1 species
AGUGAAGCGGCAAAAGCUUCAAAUUUUGAAAUCUGGCUCUUUCAGAGUCCGAGUUGUAAUUUGAAGAAGGUAUCUUUGGGUCUGGCUCUUGUCUAUGUUUCUUGGAACAGAACGUCACAGAGGGUGAGAAUCCCGUGCGAUGAGAUGAUCCAGGCCUAUGUAAAGUUCCUUCGAAGAGUCGAGUUGUUUGGGAAUGCAGCUCUAAGUGGGUGGUAAAUUCCAUCUAAAGCUAAAUAUUGGCGAGAGACCGAUAGCGAACAAGUACAGUGAUGGAAAGAUGAAAAGAACUUUGAAAAGAGAGUGAAAAAGUACGUGAAAUUGUUGAAAGGGAAGGGCUUGAGAUCAGACUUGGUAUUUUGUAUGUUACUUCUUCGGGGGUGGCCUCUACAGUUUAUCGGGCCAGCAUCAGUUUGGGCGGUAGGAGAAUUGCGUUGGAAUGUGGCACGGCUUCGGUUGUGUGUUAUAGCCUUCGUCGAUACUGCCAGCCUAGACUGAGGACUGCGGUUUAUACCUAGGAUGUUGGCAUAAUGAUCUUAAGUCGCCCGUCUG